AUGGAGGUUGCAUUGCCCGGAGGAAAGGCAGAGGAGGGUGAUGCUGAUGAUGCAGCAACAUCAUUAAGGGAGGCAAAGGAGGAGAUUGGGCUUAAUCCAGCCUUGGUCACUGUCGUUUCCUCACUUGAGCACUUCUUGCCCAAGUUGUUUCAUCGCUGUGAGGGUCUGGUGUUCAACGACCUCCCCGUGCGUUCGACGAGCUCCGCCCCUGCGUUCGUGGCUGCUAUUGAGGCAGAGAGAGCGAAGACCCAGGCUGCUUUUGAGGAGAGGGACCGGCAGUUGGCGGAGAGGGACCGGCAGGCGGCGGAGAGGGACAGGGAGAAUGAGGAGAGGACGGCUAGGCUAUUGGAGGAGGAGAGGAACCGGAACGACUCGGCUGACCGGGCCAUGUACGAUCUCUUCGUGUCCAUGUGCGAGAAGAACGGCCAGACCCCUCCGCCGAUGCCAGUCAUUGCUCCGGCGGGCACGGUGAGUUUCAUUUGA
rnacentral:rRNA from 1 species